UGGGGUUGGAAUUGAGCAAAAAGCUCAGCAGCGAGAUGCUCCUGAAGAUGCAUCGUUAUUGCUGCAGGUUCGCCUCAAAAACCUCGUCCCUCCCUUGGCAGGGAGAGCAAUUCCUUCGAAAUCACCCAAAACGAAACACCCUAGAAAGGAAACAUCCUUGAAAGCAGCAGUCACCACAAGGGCUUCGUUCCUGGUGGGAUGAGAGACUUCCCGCUGCCGGCAAGGGAAACAGCCAAGAGUUUGACUGGUCCUUUGCUGUGUCCCCCCAGCUUUUAUAAGGGACUGGUGGAGCCACGAACCCCUGGGAGGUCUGGGGCACCCUGAGCCUGAGGCAACACAGGACUACAUGUCACAGGGUGCCCAGAGAUGUUGCAAUUCCACUGCUUCAGUGCCCAACAGUUGAGCAGAGAGAGAGCCCACGGUGGGGUGAAGCAGGAGGGCAGCAAGAAAAACAAGUUCUUGGCAGAGAAGACAGGCAGCCCCCACCAAGAGCCUCCCCAUGCCUCUUCCACUACCAUCUCCAAGUGGGAAUUCGGGCUGCUUGCUGAGUUUUGCCUCACCCAUAGCUGGCAGGGGGUGCUCGCAAAUGGGUGGGAACAACAUGCCUCUUCAUGCCCCCGCCGAAUUCCCUGCCUCGCUGGGAAAGGGCAUGUCUGCCUGCCUUGAAGUUUGGUUUGGGAAGAACCGCCGGGCAAGGGCCCCGCGGGAGCCCCUCGGCCACCGCCGCUCUCUAGGUCACCGCGGAAAGGUCAAAGCAACCGUGCGCGGAGAGGCGGCGUCAUGUCGGUACCGGAGGGAUGGGACACAGGGACACAUCACUACAAGAGUCCACAGGCACCUCACAAGAGAAAGCAAAGAACUCUGCUCUCUGGUGACCAGUGAUAAGACUCCAGGGAUCUGCAUGAAGCUCUGUCAGGGAAGUUUGAGGGGAUUAUUUCUGGUCGGCAGGAUCCACCACGCUCUCGGUGACUGCAUCGCUCCAAGGGGCUGGCCCUGAUAAGAAGCUGCAAAUCCGAGCUGCCAAGUGCUGCCAUCCCGCUGGAGCCUUGGAGGCGGAUCAGGGAUUUAGAGGGUCUGUGUGAUGUCUAACAGGUUUAGAAAAUAUUGCCUGGGAUUAUCCACUCGCGGCGGUGACCGGAGAGCUCUGAGCCGCGGCGGACGCCGGCACCGGCUGAUCUUUGCUGAGGGGGGUCCUGCGUGCUGCAAUCUGCUCUGCGUGUGCCCGUUCGCGUUCUGUGCACGUUCCCUCGUGUGCACACGCGUGGAUGUGCAGCAGGGGCGGCUCUGGAGCUGUGAAUGCGGCUGGCGGUCCCCUGACACCGCGGGGGCUGAGCCGUGUCCGGCCCCGGUGCUGCCAGCCCCGUGCUGGCUCUGGGCUGCCAGAGGGGUGCUCCAACCUUCGCCGAGCUGCAGUCCUGUAAGGGCAGCUCCUGACCGCCAGCGUUAAUGAUAUCCACCCAAUUAGCCCAGCCUAGCCCCAAGGAUUAGCGGAUGGAAUCAUCAUCCCGAGGCGUAAGCGGUUAACGCUGCUAAUUAGUCAUCGCGUGAAUCCCAGCCCAGCCACAAAGCGCGGCGGCCGCGGCAGCCGUGGGCAAGGGGUGAUGCCCACCCAGCCGGGCUCCGGGAGACGGGAGCUGUUUACGGGGAAUUUGCCGGGCUCGGGGCUCCGUUAUUUUUACGCGUUGCCAUAGCUACUGAUACCAUUAUAAAAUUAAGCCUGAACCAUGUGGAAGAAAUGGAUCUGUCAGAAGGAAUUCUUUUUCGGGAGCGCGUUGUGGGUCCGAGCGCUGCCGAGCCCAGCGGGGUGAUGGGGGUCCCCGCUGGAGGCAGCUGCAUCCUGCCCACGGGCACGUCGCUGGAGCGAGGCGCCGGGCAGGCUGCGGAGCUCCGGCAUCGCCGGGAGCCACCGGCGCCAGCACAGCCCCUCCGGGCUGGCAGCAUCGCUGGGCACGUCCGGG